UACGUAGGAGACGAGCGUUGUCCGGAAUCACUGGGCGUAAAGCGCGUGUAGGCGGGUCCGCAAGUCUGCUGUGAAAACUCCUGGCUUAACCGGGAGGGUGCGCCGAAUACUGAGGGACUCGAGUGCGGGAGAGGAAAGUGGAAUUCCUGGUGUAGCGGUGAAAUGCGUAGAUAUCAGGAGGAACACCGAUGGCGAAGGCAGCUCGCUGGGACGGUACUGACGCUGAGGCGCGAAAGCGUGGGGAGCAAACAGG
rnacentral:rRNA from 1 species